UACGGAGGGUGCAAGCGUUAUCCGGAUUCACUGGGUUUAAAGGGUGCGUAGGCGGGCAGGUAAGUCAGUGGUGAAAUCUCCGAGCUUAACUCGGAAACUGCCAUUGAUACUAUCUGUCUUGAAUAUCCUGGAGGUGAGCGGAAUAUGUCAUGUAGCGGUGAAAUGCUUAGAUAUGACAUAGAACACCAAUUGCGAAGGCAGCUCACUACGGGAUUAUUGACACUGAGGCACGAAAGCGUGGGGAUCAAACAGG
rnacentral:rRNA from 1 species